rnacentral:rRNA from 1 species
AGUGAACGCUGGCGGUAGGCCUAACACAUGCAAGUCGAACGGCAGCACAGUAAGAGCUUGCUCUUACGGGUGGCGAGUGGCGGACGGGUGAGGAAUACAUCGGAAUCUACUUUUUCGUGGGGGAUAACGUAGGGAAACUUACGCUAAUACCGCAUACGACGUACGGGUGAAAGCAGGGGAUCUUCGGACCUUUCGCGAUUGAAUGAGCCGAUGUCGGAUUAGCUAGUUGGCGGGGUAAAGGCCCACCAAGGCGACGAUCCGUAGCUGGUCUGAGAGGAUGAUCAGCCACACUGGAACUGAGACACGGUCCAGACUCCUACGGGAGGCAGCAGUGGGGAAUAUUGGACAAUGGGCGCAAGCCUGAUCCAGCCAUACCGCGUGGGUGAAGAAGGCCUUCGGGUUGUAAAGCCCUUUUGUUGGGAAAGAAAAGAAGCAGGUUAAUACCCCGCUGUUCUGACGGUACCCAAAGAAUAAGCACCGGCUAACUUCGUG